rnacentral:rRNA from 1 species
UGGGGAAUAUUGGACAAUGGGCCACGAGCCUGAUCCAGCAAUUCUGUGUGGGUGAUGACGGUCUUAGGAUUGUAAAGCCCUUUCAGUGGGGAAGAAGAAAGUGACAGUACCCACAGAAGAAGCCACGGCUAACUACGUGCCAGCAGCCGCGGUAAGACGUAGGUGGCAAGCGUUAUCCGGAAUCACUGGGCGUAAAGGGCAUCUAGGCGGUUUAUUAAGUCAGAAGUGAAAUACCGGGGCUCAACCCCGGGACUGCUUUUGAAACUGGUAGACUAGAAUACGGGAUAGGAGGGCGGAACUACAAGUGUAGAGGUGAAAUUCGUAGAUAUUUGUAGGAAUGCCGAUGACGAAGGUAGCUCUCUGGACCGACAUUGACGCUGAAGUGCGAAAGCUAGGGUAGCAAACA